UACGGGGGGGGCUAGCGUUGUUCGGAAUUACUGGGCGUAAAGGGCGCGUAGGCGGUCUGCUAAGUUGGAUGUGAAAACUCUGGGCUUAACCCAGAGCCUGCAUUCAAUACUGACAGGCUAGAGUUCUGGAGGGGAUAGCGGAAUUCCUGGUGUAGCGGUGAAAUGCGUAGAUAUCAGGAGGAACACCGGUGGCGAAGGCGGCUAUCUGGACAGAGUCUGGACGCUGAGGCGCGAAAGCUAGGGGAGCAAACAGG
rnacentral:rRNA from 1 species